rnacentral:lncRNA from 1 species
CGGGCGCGGCUGUGCGGUAACCAUGGUGCUCAGCGCCGCAGGCCGACAUGGAACAGCCAGAUGCUUUUCAACCCCACUUCUUCAGAACCACUGAGGACCUUUUGUAAAAUAGAGAUUCUGAGUCGUGUUCAUACUAAACUGGCAUGUCCAAAGUGUGAGGCCUGAGAUCCAGUUUUUUCUUAAUUUAAUUAAGUUAUGUGAGUGGGAGAAACAGUAGGUUCGGGAACCAGUGUCGUAGCUUGGACGGGGCUUCUGAAGUCCUGGGCCUCGGGCUGGCCAUGCCCCCUGGCUCACGUAGGGGCAGCCAGACUCUCCCGUUGCAGGGGGACAGGAACACGGGGUGGCCAGAGGGAACCGAGAGCCGCUCCUCUGCCGGGGCUUCGUGGAGGUGGGGAAGAUGGGAAGACCAGCCCAGCCAAGCCUCCGCAGGUGAAAGCACUGAGGUGAUCUCACCCACGUCCUCAUCUUACACCCAGAGGGAAACACCGAGCUCAGCGUCCACGGUGAUUUCCUCAGGGUCCAGCAGCAAGGCAGAGUCAGCGGGGCUGAACCUGGGUCUUUCUGACUCCUUGUCACCGGGCUGCUUUACUUCCUGCGCUGCUGGCCUCUACAGCGAGGUGAAAUCACCCACUUCCCUCUCUUGCGUCCCCCUGGGAACUGGGGACACUUGCUUUCACGUCCUGACCUCCUGAGCCGUUGCCCACUCUCCGAACACAGAAGGGACUCAAGUGUUAGGGUUGCCUGACGCAGUCGGUGUGCUCCUCAGCCACAAUCCCUGGCCAGAGAGAGACUGCUGAUAACUUUAUGCCCAAAGCAGCUUGCACUUGCCCUGCGGGACCGAGGGGCAAAAUCUGAGACCUGGAGACACACAGCCUGCACUGCCUCAACCGGUUUUGCAAGAGAAGCCCCUAGAGCGGAUAUAAUUUGAAGUUGCUGCCUUGCCUUGGGCUCAGCUGUUUCACGAACUCAGGUCUUCUGAGAGGAUUUGUUUCCUGCCUUCCUAGGACCCAGGAUGAUCCCUUCACCUAGGGGUGACCAGGCCUGGGUUGGCCCAGUCCCCCACUCAGAUGGCACAGUCACAGUGUUCAGUGGGUACAAAGCGUGCACCGGGCGGAAAGCCAGAUCCAACCCUCUGCUGGAGAAGGGACGCUGAACAAGUCCUCAUGCAAAUGAUUAACCAAAUGAGCCCAAGGCGUGAAAUAGUGGGUUGAGGGAGCACAGUGGUGUUGGCGCGUUGGCCAGCUUCGGGUUCACGGAAAAUUCUCAGACAAGAUAAAGAGGAUGAGGAUGAGGGUGACACAUGGAGGGUUCUGGACAUACUGUGGGAGAGGAAGAGUCAGACCAGCUCCCCUGGGCCACACGCGUACCGCCACCUUCUGCCCCAGAGCUCCAAACCUAGUCUGCCACAGCGCUGCAAAGCACAGGGCAGCUAACCAGACAGGGAGGCCACUCCAUCUGAGCCACGGCAGGAAUUAUGACAAUAUCAACACUGACCUCUACCCAGCGCCUCUGUGUGCCUCUGCUGACGUCAACACACACAACUGUGUCUCCAGGACAACCCAUGAAUAGGAAAUGGUGAUUGUGGGCCCUUUUGCAGGUGAGAAAAGACUCGUGAGAAUGAGAUUAUGGGGCCAUUGACCUUGGCAGGUCCACCAGCAAAGACGAGCAAACAUGGCGGUCAGGGCUGACUCUAGACAGACCGUCUCCGUGGCCCAGGCCUCAGGUGCAUCUUGCAGGGUGGGGCCAUGCCCACCGAGCAUUUCAGAAGGUGCUCAUGGCACUUCACACUUGGGGCCAGGCUUGUGUGUUACAGUGGUGUGGCCCAGGCAGGCGGGGAACCCAAGCCGGACCUGAACCCCAUCUGUGUCUCCACCUCUGACUAGCAGCAAAGUCCCUCCGGCCCGUGGGCUCCAGGCAUCGGCAGGACUCUCUGAGGUCGGGGCCUGUGUCUGGGGGCCUCUCACAGCAGUGCGCUUCACAACGUGGCCUCUGAUUUUUUCUCCAUGUGCCCCACAUGAGUGGGGGAGGCCAAACAUGAGGAAAUGGGAGAUCAGAGCCAAGGGAGCCGCCGGGGACCAGAAAACACUUCGGGCGAGAAGGCCCCCUGAUGUCACAGGCGGACACACUCUACAGACAGAAAAGCUCACUGCUCUCCCUGCUCGCGUCUUCCUCUUUGGUGGUUUCUGCAUGCAAGUUCACUUUUCUGAUGAAAAGUAAAGAAGGCGCCUGUCACUGGCGAGCUUGUGCCGUGUGCCAGCCACAUCACGUCUCCCACCCCUCUGCGCGUAGAAUGGAAUAGCGGGGUCUCCAGCAGCUGAGUGCCUCCAAGGUCAGGCAGCUGGUUCAGCUGGAGUCAGGAUUUGAACCCAAGCCCGGCAGAUUCCAGAGCGCAUUCUCCUCAUUACGCUAUAGGGUAUGAAAGUGUCUGCCAGGGUUAUUAUUGUGUCAAAGAGCUUCCCAGCCAAGCUUUUCCUCAAACCUACAAGACUUUGAGUAUGAUCUGUCAUUUUCCUUAGGAGCCUAACAGGUUCUUCACACAUCAGUCACUG